GUACUCGCUUUAGCAGAACAUACGCUGAAGUUGGGAUGGCACAGAGAAGUUUAGCAUGGCCCCUGCGUAUGAUGGCAUGCAAACUUGAGAAGCAUUCCAUACUUUU
ensembl:snRNA U6 U6 spliceosomal RNA